CAUUACCGAGUUAUACAACUCAUCAACCCUGUGAACAUACCUAUAACGUUGCCUCGGCGGGAACAGACGGCCCCGUAACAACGGGCCGCCCCCGCCAGAGGACCCCCUAACUCUGUUUCUAUAAUGUUUCUUCUGAGUAAACAAGCAAAUAAAUUAAAACUUUCAACAACGGAUCUCUUGGCUCUGGCAUCGAUGAAGAACGCAGCGAAAUGCGAUAAGUAAUGUGAAUUGCAGAAUUCAGUGAAUCAUCGAAUCUUUGAACGCACAUUGCGCCCGCCAGUAUUCUGGCGGGCAUGCCUGUUCGAGCGUCAUUACAACCCUCAGGCCCCCGGGCCUGGCGUUGGGGAUCGGCGGAAGCCCCCUGUGGGCACAACGCCGUCCCCCAAAUACAGUGGCGGUCCCGCCGCAGCUUCCAUUGCGUAGUAGCUAACACCUCGCAACUGGAGAGCGGCGCGGCCACGCCGUAAAACACCCAACUUCUGAAUGUUGACCUCGAAUCAGGUAGGAAUACCCG
rnacentral:rRNA from 1 species